UACGAAGGGGGCUAGCGUUGCUCGGAAUUACUGGGCGUAAAGCGCACGUAGGCGGCUUCUUAAGUCGGUGGUGAAAUCCUGGAGCUCAACUCCAGAACUGCCUUCGAUACUGGGAGCUCGAGUCCGGGAGAGGUGAGUGGAACUGCGAGUGUAGAGGUGAAAUUCGUAGAUAUUCGCAAGAACACCAGUGGCGAAGGCGGACUCACUGGCC
rnacentral:rRNA from 1 species